GCUUUCCAAAAACUGCCAUCUUUUUUUUUUUUGUUUGCUUCUUCUUUGGUGAAAUCCUUCCCAAGGUCAGUCAACAUAGGGUGCGGCUCAACAGCAGGAAGCCAUUGUGCUCCUGAUUACUGGUAUCACCCAUCUUCCCCUCCAUCAAAUAAGUAAGGUCUCUUUAACUUCAGUCAUCUGGUCACUGAGGCACUGAUCUACGAUACUAAUCUCUAGCAGUGAUGGAAGGACUGCAGUUUGUUGCUGCUUACCCAUCGUGUUGAGCAAUCCCUACAACAAUUUCGUAAGGGACUGCUGCUUCACAUGUAUGGUAGGGUUUAGCAGCACCUGGGCCCAGCAACGUUCGGGGAAUUGCAGUCGACUUCCAACAAUCCCUGAAACUACACCAAACCACCAAUUGCCAUUGUCUAGCCUUCGAAACUCUAGAGCCAACUACAUCGGCAAGGACUCUUCUCCGGGCCAAAAUGGCCAGACAAUGACUCCCUCGGCAGCACAACCUCUGAUAACGCUCCUAGACCAGCAGGAGGAAGAGCAGCCGCCGGAGCCAUAGCCCAAAACUCGCAAGGUUGUAGAUGUCGUCAUCGUCUUCCUUAGGCUGGUUAGGACUCCAAGAUUCAGGACUAGGCACGCCAUACAGCUCAGUCCCAAUUUGCAGUAGCAAAUAGCAAUGAGAAAUUUCAUUUUAUGGCUGAAGUGGCCCGUGGAUGAUCAACUGAGACAUCCGGCUGCCUUUUGGCUGGAAUCGAUCAACACUGCUCCAGUAUGCUCUGAGAGCAGUUGUUAGCCACCGCCAACAACGGUCACCCUUCCAAUCCAAUAACACAUGCACAGCCCUAAUCCCAAUUAGGGUUCUGCCUCGCCAUAGGGGCAGAUUCUCAACCGUGCGAGUGGAAAUGGCACAGCUUGUAAUAUUGUUUAAAACGUUGGUUUUUUUCUAACUUGUUCGACCUUUUAGUGGCAAAAAAGUAUUUUCACAUAGGAAAAGAGGGCUUAUACAUAGGAAAAGAGGGCUUAUGGUUAAAAACUUGAAAUCGAGAAGUUCUUCUUCCGUUCUUCUAGUGAGCCUUCGACCGUUCGAGACAGAGAGGCGUUGGACUGAACUUCCUUCGUCAGUUCCUCAAUCGGCUGAAGAGGAGGGCAUUCGAGAUUCGGCUGCUGUCUGAUCAUCUUCUUCUCGUUUUCAUCCGGCUGAAGAGGAGGGCAUUCGAGAUUCGAUUUCCUUCGUCUCCAUCUCGUUUUCUUCGGUUGAAGUCUCUUUUUCAUUCAAGCAAUGACAGUUCGAACCCCAAUCUAUGUUGGGUAUUGCACACUCGCAUUCCUGUCGUAAGUUCAUUCAAAUCCUACAGCAAUUAUGGACGUGAAGAUAUAGAAAAAGAAGUGAUAUCACCUCUUGGUGCACCCUAAUCGCGCGCGCGAGAGAGAGAGAUGAGCAGAAGGCAGCCACCACCUAGUGCGAGACCUUUGGGGACGGACGGCUCGGAUUUUUCCUAUCGAAUGGUCGUCGAUUCGAGAUAUACGAAGGUAGCACAAGGAAAAGGUCACCUUUGCAAGCUGCUAGUUGCACAGGUGUCCUAUGGCUCUUGCUUUUUGUUCCUGCAACAAAGGGGUCCUGGCCAACUUGCUGUCUUCUCUGUUUUAGCUGGUUUCAUUUGUCUUGCUAUUGGAGAAUCAGGACGAAGAUGUAACAGCAAAACCCUACUAAGAUCCUAUACUGUUGUAGCAUCUAUUGCUGCAAUUUUGUCUGUUGCACAAAUUAUUACAAGCAACCUUCCGUUGCAGGGGAGAGGAACGGAUCCCAUUUUCCACCCAGCCAAGUGAUUGAAGAGAUGGAGUGAGCCCCAUUGGAAGUUUUGGAGCACGCGAUCACUCCAUAAUGAAUGUGCAGACUGAGCCGGCAAUGAGUACUAUCUCCUACAUGAAGUCAGUAUCCUAACUACUGAUGAAAGAUACGCAGCGGCAGUUUUGGAUCAGUAUCAUCAAAUCCUGAAGCGAUUUUGAAUGGGCGCCUCCUUAUCAGUGUUGUUCUGCAGUUAUACACCAUAAUGACCACCUUGACACUAAUUGGUAACAUGUCAGUGAAAAGAGCUUCUUGAUGAACUUUCUGAUGGUUCAGAUGGCAGUCACCUUGCUUCCAUCCUCAAAUGAUCUGGGUGCCAUCAAUCUUUCAAGCAAGCACAUGACACAAACUUUUAGCAGUUCAUCAUUCACAUUUUGUAUCUCAUUUUGCGAUUGGCGAAAUAUUUGGCUUUUAAAAGGAGGACUUAUGUGGUAAUUGUCACUUGACCGACCAAAUUUGGGACAGUGGUUCAUUGUCAAAUCAAUUAGUGUAUGAUGCCUUUGUUUCAA